UACGGGGGGGGCAAGCGUUGUUCGGAAUUACUGGGCGUAAAGGGCUCGUAGGCGGCCAACUAAGUCGGAUGUGAAAUCCCCAGGCUCAACCUGGGAACUGCAUCCGAUACUGGAUGGCUUGAAUCCGGGAGAGGGAUGCAGAAUUCCAGGUGUAGCGGUGAAAUGCGUAGAUAUUUGGAGGAAUACCGGUGGCGAAGGCGGCAUCCUGGACCGGCAUUGACGCUGAGGAGCGAAAGCUAGGGGAGCAAACGGG
rnacentral:rRNA from 1 species